rnacentral:rRNA from 1 species
UACGUAGGGGGCAAGCGUUGUCCGGAUUUAUUGGGCGUAAAGAGCGUGUAGGCGGCCAGGUAGGUCCGUUGUGAAAACUCGAGGCUCAACCUCGAGCUGUCGAUGGAAACCAUCUGGCUAGAGUCCGGAAGAGGAGAGUGGAAUUCCCGGUGUAGCGGUGAAAUGCGCAGAUAUCGGGAAGAACACCCGUGGCGAAGGCGGCUCUCUGGGCCACACCUGACGCUGAGACGCGAAAGCUAGGGGAGCGAACAGG